rnacentral:ribozyme from 11 species
UGUUUUCUUCUUCUUCAUUUUGAAUUUUUUUUUCUGUUGUUGUUGUUGAGGCUUCAACAACAACCGCUGGAGGAGGACUACUGGGGCAGCAGCAGCAGAGGAGGAGGAAGAAGAAAAGAAAAAAAUGUUGUUGAGUGCAAAAAAAAAAAAAAAAAAAAAAAAAUG